GAGCGGUUCGAGAGACGAAUAGGGCGGGCAAGGGCGCCGCGCAGGGAAGAUCGGUUCGUUCCUGGGCUCGGACUUUUUGCCUUCAACUUCAUGCACGCAUGUACUUCUCAGUAACAAAAUAAUACGGAGUACAAAUAGUGUCACCUAACGCUAGUGUUGUUUGCAAUUGCCAAUCCUAGGACCGUACCUUGACAUGAUUUAGGGUAUUUAGUAUGUAUGAUGGUCUUUUUUUCUCUUAGUGUGGCAUGAUUAAUUUGGAAGAAAGAGAGACGAAAAAGUUAUGUGGUCAAUUCGUCAUAGAUGAUGAUCUUUUUAGCCUUCUUUCAGCCAAAAGAUGAUCUGUCGAAGACAGAUAAACUACCAUUUUUUACACUGCGCAGAUUUUGUCUUUGACCCAACCAGAGCCUGCCCACCCAACAAUUUUCUAAAAUUUCCUUGCAUUAAUAGAAAUUAUUGCAUGGAAACGCAAAGUUUUUGCGUUUUCUCAAAAAAAAAAUUAUUAAAAAAUUCUGGGAAAAAAUAGUAUUGCAGUGUAUUUGUCCCACCAAAUAUUAAAAAAAAAAUGUUUGCUUCAUCCAAAGUUCAAAAGCUGGUUCCGCCACCCAACAGCUUCUUUGUAACUUUAAACAAAGAUCUAGCUUUAUUUCCUGAACGAUGGAUGUUGUUCUAGCUCACGAAGUUAUAGUAGUCCCCCAUUAAUUUGUUAAUGCAAAUCUAAUCUUUUACCUAUUGUGCACGUUUUGUCUUAAGUAUUUAAUUAAAUUUCGUAGUUGGCAUCCAAUUGUUUUUAGAUCAGGUACCGUACGAUGCGAAUCAAAAGGCACGCAGUAAAGGACGAUUCGGAAGAUCGGUUGCUGACUGGUUCCGUCACAGUUUGGAAGUAGCACCUGGUGUCAUGCUCUCCAUAUAUAUUAAGGCAUAUUAAUCUGCACAUGGAUCAUGACAAGUCAGUCGCCAAAAUGAUGAACACACGCGCAUUUUUUUUCCUGGGUCCAUUCCCAAUAAGUGGGUAAUGGUGAGCAGAAAACGGCCCGUGGGGACUGGAAAAAUGCAUAUGUCUAUGCCAUCGAUUGCUCUGAAACACUGAUUAAUUAAUCUGACCGUUGAAAGGUAGAUUGGACUGG
rnacentral:lncRNA from 1 species